rnacentral:rRNA from 1 species
UAUUGAAACUUCGGUCGAUUUAAUUUAAUUCUAGUGGCGGACGGGUGAGUAACGCGUGGGUAACCUGCCUUAUACAGGGGGAUAACAGUCAGAAAUGGCUGCUAAUACCGCAUAAGCGCACAGAGCUGCAUGGCUCGGUGUGAAAAACUCCGGUGGUAUAAGAUGGACCCGCGUUGGAUUAGCUUGUUGGUGGGGUAACGGCCCACCAAGGCGACGAUCCAUAGCCGGCCUGAGAGGGUGAACGGCCACAUUGGGACUGAGACACGGCCCAGACUCCUACGGGAGGCAGCAGUGGGGAAUAUUGCACAAUGGGGGAAACCCUGAUGCAGCGACGCCGCGUGAAGGAAGAAGUAUCUCGGUAUGUAAACUUCUAUCAGCAGGGAAGAUAGUGACGGUACCUGACUAAGAAGCCCCGGCUAACUACGUGCCAGCAGCCGCGGUAAUACGUAGGGGGCAAGCGUUAUCCGGAUUUACUGGGUGUAAAGGGAGCGUAGACGGUGUGGCAAGUCUGAUGUGAAAGGCAUGGGCUCAACCUGUGGACUGCAUUGUGAAACUGUCAUGCUUGAGUGCCGGAGGGGUAAGCGGAAUUCCUAGUGUAGCGGUGAAAUGCGUAGAUAUUAGGAGGAACACCAGUGGCGAAGGCGGCU